CUCAGUUCGGAUCGGAGUCUGNAACCCGACUCCGUGAAGCUGGAUUCGCUAGUAAUCGCGCAUCAGCCAUGGCGCGGUGAAUACGUUCCCGGGCCUUGUACACACCGCCCGUCAAGCCAUGGGAGCCGGGGGUGCUUGAAGUGCGUCGCCGCAAGGCGCGCCCUAGAGCAAAACCGGUGACUGGGGCUAAGUCGUAACAAGGUAUC
rnacentral:rRNA from 1 species